rnacentral:rRNA from 1 species
UACGUAGGGCGCAAGCGUUGUCCGGAAUUAUUGGGCGUAAAGAGCUCGUAGGCGGUCUGUCGCGUCUGCUGUGAAAACUCAGGGCUUAACCCUGAGCUUGCAGUGGGUACGGGCAGACUAGAGUGCGGUAGGGGAGACUGGAAUUCCUGGUGUAGCGGUGAAAUGCGCAGAUAUCAGGAGGAACACCGGUGGCGAAGGCGGGUCUCUGGGCCGUAACUGACGC